rnacentral:tRNA from 1 species
GCUCCCAUCGUCUAGUGGCCCAGGACGUCGCCCUCUCACGGCGAAAACACCGGUUCGAACCCGGUUGGGAGCGCCA